GCUUACGGCCAUACCACCCUGAGCGCGCCCGAUCUCGUCUGAUCUCGGAAGCUAAGCAGGGUUGGGCCUGGUUAGUACUUGGAUGGGAGACCUCGUCGGUAUACUAAUAUACUGCAGAUU
rnacentral:rRNA from 1 species